rnacentral:rRNA from 1 species
CCUACGGGAGGCUGCAGUGGGGAAUAUUGGACAAUGGGGGGAACCCUGAUCCAGCCAUGCCGCGUGUGUGAAGAAGGCCCUCGGGUUGUAAAGCACUUUCAGUGAGGAAGAACGCCUGGUGGUUAAUACCCAUCAGGAAAGACAUCACUCACAGAAGAAGCACCGGCUAACUCCGUGCCAGCAGCCGCGGUAAUACGGAGGGUGCGAGCGUUAAUCGGAAUUACUGGGCGUAAAGCGCGCGUAGGUGGCUUGAUAAGCCGGUUGUGAAAGCCCCGGGCUCAACCUGGGAACGGCAUCCGGAACUGUCAAGCUAGAGUGCAGGAGAGGAAGGUAGAAUUCCCGGUGUAGCGGUGAAAUGCGUAGAGAUCGGGAGGAAUACCAGUGGCGAAGGCGGCCUUCUGGACUGACACUGACACUGAGGUGCGAAAGCGUGGGUAGCAAACAGGAUUAGAUACCGAGUAGUC